ACAGAUCAGUUCCAGCAGUAGAUGGUGGAGGCUGAGUGAACCUGUUUUGGAGUAUAAAGGAAUCAGCUGCACUUGCUACCUUCAGUUUGGGGAUGAAGCUGUAAAACAUGCACUGUGAGCAGAGCCUCAUGAAGUGACCCAGUCAACUCUGGACUGACAGCUGGAGAUCCCGCAUAGGACUGAACAAGGCCCCUGAAUGCAGAUAUCAACAACAACAGAAAGCUUAUAAACUCAGGGAAACCAAAGAAGUCACUAUUGAAUGAUAACAGUUCAAGACAGAAAUAAAGAAAUUAAAGACUUUCUAGAAUUGAAUGAAAAUGAAUACACAACAUACCCAAAUCUAUGGAUGUGAAGGAGGUUCUAACAGUGGGUGCAGGUGGAGUUUCUUCCUCUCCUGGUGAAAAUGGGUUCAAGGUUCCCUUCUGAAACCACCAAAUCAUAAGUCACUUAUACCAGGGAAUGACACAGCAUUAAGAAGCUCCCACACUCUCAUGAGGGCGUCAACCUGGCUUCUUACAUAACAAGGACUUUGGCACCUCACCCAGGACUUGGUUGCUUGCCAGUCCUCCAUUCCGCAGAAAAAGGCAUCAAGAUUAUGUGGACAGUUGGGUGUGAUCCAAGAUUAGGGCAUGGGACAAUAUGAAGGCCACACAGCAGGAGGGAGGGCAAAUCUUCUGCCUUAGGGAGACCCUGGGAAAUUCAAGUUUACAUGCAAGUGAAUAAGCAAAUGCUUGAGAUUGCUGGCAUUUCCAAUUCCAUAAGAACAUGCUUGAGGGCUACCCUCGUCUAGACCUGUCUUGGAUUCUGUGCAACUACAGGGAGCUUGUAUCUUCUAGAGUUCUCCGAAGGGUCCUCAGCUCUCUACUAGCCAUAAAAAGUGGAGCUGCUCUCAAGAGCCUUUCCUGAUGCCCCUGAGGGAAACUGCAUGGAGCACUUUAACCUAUGAAAAACAGUUUGCAUAAGAGAGAGUCUAAAAUUUCCUAAGGGGAGAUGGACUCAGAGCCAAAAGAGAUUAAGAUCAACUUUCCAUCUGGAGAAUCGAUGGCCUUGGGUGCCAGCAAUGCAGAAACCAGCUAAGUAUUUAUUAAAGUCCAGCACAAAUAUUCUGUCCACUUUUUAUUCUGCUUUGUUGCAUUGAGCACAGGAUUCUCAUUCACAGAGUCUGGACACGUUUGUAGCACCUGCGGUCACUCUACCUUGCUCCAGUGAAACUAAACUCUUGUGUGUGUCUUAACAUUGUGUCACUUUUAUGUUAUGGAAAAUAAGUAUUCCAGGAGAAUGCUGUUUCUUAUAUUGCAUUGGAAAAGGUGGCUGAAUUAAUAACACAUAAUUGAAAACAAACCCAUUUUAUAAGCAUUUGCUCUCCUAGUGCCACUGGGAGAAUAGAUUUUGACCUUAGUCUUGCAGAUAGUUGUUAUUGAUGUCAGGUAUUGUCCUUGGCAUUUUCAACACAGUAUCAGAAUUUCAACAGCAACCCUUCCAAGUGCAUGCUAUUGCUCCAGAACAGGGAUGAGGAAACCUGGGUCAGGGAGGUGAUUUGGGCUAGGAAAGGAGGUACAGGGGCCUGGUGGAGCCUACUUGCUAUCUCAAUCACCAACUCUUUGCUGUUUGUUGGCACUAGGCUGCCUUUCCCUACACAAAGGGGAGAAUCCUGUACUGGGGUUUCUUCUGAUUUAAGUAAUUCAGAUAAGAUCCAAACCUUCAUUAGAAAUUUCACUGAGCUUUUUGCCAAAUGGCAAGCAAUUCUGAAGUGAAAUUAUACUUUCAUGUGAGGGUCAAAGUCUCAUAGUUUAGCCUGGCAAGACUAUUCAGUGGGUAAAGGUUCUGGUUGCACAAGCCAGAUGCUCGGAGUCCAACCCUAGAGACUCACAGAAGAGGAGAGAACUGCAUUCCCAAUGCUGCCUCCUCUAUGGGCACCAA